CUUAUCCUUGUAGGAACAAAAGUGACUGCUAAGUCUCUUAUGUUCCACAAGAGAUAGCGUGUUAAAGGGUCAUACCUCUGGGGAAGAGUGGACAGAAUAACCGACCCAAAAUU